GCCGUUGUGGCUCAGUGGUUGAGCAUUGACUCAUAAAUCAAGAGGUCACAAGUUCGAUUCCCCGUCAAGGGCA
rnacentral:tRNA from 1 species